GUCAGACCGGAAUUCCCGGUGCCGCCGCAACCGCCGUCUGUGCGCCCACCUCUGCUGCCGCCAUGGGGAUCUUAGAGAAGAUCUCGGAGAUCGAGAAGGAGAUCGCUCGGACGCAGAAGAACAAGGCCACUGAGUAUCAUCUGGGCCUGCUGAAAGCUAAGCUCGCCAAGUAUCGGGCCCAGCUCCUGGAACCGUCCAAAUCGGCCUCGUCCAAAGGAGAGGGCUUUGAUGUCAUGAAGUCGGGCGAUGCCCGUGUGGCGCUGAUUGGAUUUCCCUCUGUGGUCCACAUUCUUGAGUCUGAUGACCUCCACGGCCAGCGAGGCAGCGUCCUAUGAGUUCACCACUCUGACGUGUAUUCCUGGGGUCAUUGAAUACAAAGGUGCCAACAUCCAGCUCCUGGACCUUCCUGGAAUCAUUGAAGGCGCAGCCCAAGGUGGGAGGCAGGGCAGGUGUGUGGGAGGCAGGCUGGAGCUCUGUUACUGAUCGUUGAAAUUGGGUGUGGCUGUCAUGGAGAUCACUCUGGACCCCUGGUCCAUUAUCCCGCUUUCCAGAAAAGACAGGUUCCAGUUCAAAUCCU
rnacentral:sRNA from 1 species